UCCUCAGUAGCUUAGUGGUGUAGAGCGGUCGGCUGUUAACUGACUGGUAGGUUCGAAUCCUACUUGGGGAG